rnacentral:rRNA from 1 species
AUUGCGAAGGCAGCUUUCUGGAUCAUUACUGACACUGAGGAACGAAAGCAUGGGUAGCGAAGAGGAUUAGAUACCCUCGUAGUCCAUGCCGUAAACGAUGUGUGUUAGACGUUGGAAAUUUAUUUUCAGUGUCGCAGGGAAACCGAUAAACACACCGCCUGGGGAGUACGACCGCAAGGUUAAAACUCAAAUGAAUUGACGGGGACCCGCACAAGUAGUGGAGCAUGUGGUUUAAUUCGAAGAUACGCGCAGAACCUUACCAACACUUGACAUGUUCGUCGCGACCCUAAGAGAUUAGAGUUUUCGGUUCGGCCGGACGAAACACAGGUGCUGCAUGGCUGUCGUCAGCUCGUGUCGUGAGAUGUUGGGUUAAGUCCCGCAACGAGCGCAACCCUCACUUUUAGUUGCCAUCAUUAAGUUGGGCACUCUGAAAGAACUGCCAGUGAUAAGCUGGAGGAAGGUGGGGAUGACGUCAAGUCCUCAUGGCCCUUACGUGUUGGGCUACACACGUGCUACAAUGGCAUCUACAACAGGAAGCAAAACGGCAACGUUAAGCAAAUCCCGAAAAGAUGCCUCAGUUCGGAUUGCACUCUGCAACUCGAGUGCAUGAAGCUGGAAUUACUAGUAAUCGUGGAUCAGCGUGCCACGGUGAAUGCGUUCCCGGGUCUUGUACACACCGCCCGUCACACCAUGGGAGUUGGUUCUACCUUAAGGCAAGGUUUCAAACCCUUGACCACGGUAUAGUCAGCGACUGGGGUGAAGUCGUAACAAGGUAGCCGUA